GGUGAUAUAAUCAUCUACCUCUCUCAUCGUUGUCAGAAGUGUGGAACCAGAAAGUGCAUGUACAUAAUCAUUUGCAUUGUAAGAGCUUGGAAAAAAGGUAGCAACUGAUGGAAAUGAACAAAUAUUUGCUGCACAUGGGAUCUUCAGCCUUCAUUGCAGCAUACGGGAGCAGCAUGUGGGAGCUAGUUCCCUGACCGCGGAUUGAACCCAGGCCCCCUGCAUUGGGAAUGUGGGGUCGAAGCCCCUGAAUCACCAGAGAAGUCAGUAGAAGAGAGUUUUGCCACCUUGUACUGAAUAAAUAGAAGUAAAAUUGAGAGGAGAAGAUGCUGGGGCCACGGCGGGGUGAGCAUAAAAAACAGCAGGUUGAAGACUUGGCACUGAAAAACCCAAUUUUACUUACUGUUUGGAAGAAGAUGCCGAGGUUGCAUGCACAGCCCACUCCCAGGGAAGCAGUAUGGAGCAGCCUAGGAAACCUGUCCCAACAAUCCGACUGAGCUCCUACUUCUUGUCUUUGUGACUUUAGGCCUUUUACCCAAACUCUCAAAAUCUCAGUUUCCUUCUUGGAAAACGGGGACAACAAAAAUACCUGCCUCUUGGAAUCACUGCACAGGCGGAAGGAAAUCAUCCACGUAGAG
ensembl:lncRNA